CCUGUGCUCGCCCCUCUCCACCCCUACCCUCUGCUCGCCCACAGAACUCUGGGGAACUCUGUCCCUUUGGGGCUCCUGGCAACAUGGACACCUCCCUGGAAGGGGCUCCAGGAGCUGGGAGAAAAGCCACUCCGGGCUUCAUCAACGACCAGCCUACCUGGGAGCAGCUCAGCUCAUUUCGAGACGUCAUAGUAUUUUUAAGAAGGAAGUAAGUGUGCUGGGACCAGCCCCAGGCUCAGGGGUUCAGAGGCCAAGCCUGGUUCCCUUUCAGGUCUGGGUCGGGGUGGCGGGUGAGCGUUUCCGUCUGGAGUGGGGUGGCGAGGACAAGGCCUGGGCCAAAAGCAGAAGUGGGCUCUGAGCGGAGCUCUGUCACCACCCCCACCGCCACCAUCUCUUCACUGCCGACAGCACCCAGGCCUCGGGGCUUCGGAGGGCGCCCGCAGGCUCCUCUCCCGCUGGACGGGGCUGUGGUAGCGGGGGGAAGAACCGAUUGGAAAUCCGGGUGGCCAGGCCCAGAGGGAACUGGGCUGGCGGUGGAACAGGGAAGAAGAAGAGAGAGACAGAAUGCGAGCGGGACAGGAGCAGAGAGAGAGGGAG